GACGAACGCUGGCGGCGUGCUUAACACAUGCAAGUCGAACGGAAAGGCCCUGCUUGCAGGGUGCUCGAGUGGCGAACGGGUGAGUAACACGUGGGUGAUCUGCCCCUUACUUUGGGAUAAGCCUGGGAAACUGGGUCUAAUACUGGAUAGGACCAUGCUGUAGGUGGUGUGGUGGAAAGAUUUUUUCGGUAAGGGAUGAGCUCGCGGCCUAUCAGCUUGUUGGUGGGGUAAUGGCCUACCAAGGCGUCGACGGGUAGCCGGCCUGAGAGGGUGGACGGCCACAUUGGGACUGAGAUACGGCCCAGACUCCGACGGGAGGCAGCAGUGGGGAAUAUUGCACAAUGGGCGCAAGCCUGAUGCAGCGACGCCGCGUGGGGGAUGACGGCCUUCGGGUUGUAAACUCCUUUCAGCCAUGACGAAGCCUCUUUUGGGGUGACGGUAGUGGUAGAAGAAGCACCGGCUAACUACGUG
rnacentral:rRNA from 1 species